CAUCAUUGCAUACCCAUUUUAUGUACAAGUUGGUAGAAUGUCAAGUACCAUCGAGGGCACGCUCUGAGUAUUUUCUCUUAGUGUAGUGACUGGCACCAUGAUAGAUGAGGGUUUCUUGAUUGAUUCAUUGACUGCCGGGCUAAGGACAAUAGACUUUAUUUGGUUUGCAGUGGUAAUUGUUGGAUUGGAAACAUGAAUCAGGGGAGUGACUAGGUAUCUUUUUGGAAUUUGAGUGAAUCUCUCCCAACUAUCAUGUGCCUUGAGACAGGUACUGCCUUUUGUCCCAUAAGCACCCCAGUGCACAAUAUGUACUUGGGAAAUGUAAACAACAAUGAACUAACAGAGAAAAAAUAAGAAGAACAGAAGGACUUCUCUGCCCCUAGGACUUCUGUGAAUCAUGGGAACUUUUUUGAUUUGUAGCAGUUUGCUUGGAGAUCUCUUUCAACAACUUCUUAAAGAAGAAAGCGCCAUAGUAUGAAAUUCUUCCCUUGGUGGUUCUUUCUAUCCCAGUGGCUUGUCUUCUUUGAUACAACCUUCAUCCCCUGCACUAGUCACAAAGGCAAAGGGCUCGGAGCCGUGCUGCCAAGGUGUGAAAGUAAUUAGCUGCAG
rnacentral:lncRNA from 1 species